rnacentral:lncRNA from 1 species
AAUUCAGCAAACACCAAGCUUUUCUUAGCAUCCUGGGCCCCCUUCCCUGCAACUCUUCUUUGGCAGUGCCUUGGGUGAUAGUCAGAGGCAAAGUCUGGAGGUGAUUAGAUGGCUGCCGACUUAGGCUAUAAGCGAGUCCAAAGGAAUGGAUCUGGCUUUUGAUCAGGACAAAGCUACGUCCAGAGGAGAAGCUGAGUGAAGAGGAGGCACCAGUGAUAAACUUGGGUUUGAGCAGCCAGGAUGGAAGCACGAUCUCAUUCACCAAGAUGGUGAGCAGCUGUGUUCUCUGAAACACAGACCACGUGAGCAAAAAUUGUCUUCCCCCAAUUUGGAGGCUCCUCCCGCCAAAGCAGUUUAAUGGGCAGGCAGAGAGGAGGCAGAGUGAGGGAAGGUUUUAUAUGGAAAUGUGGGAAUGAAUGAAAAGGCCUUACUUAAAAGGAUCUAUCUGAUAGCCCUUGGGACAGCCUCAACCAUCCCCAAAUGCCUCUCUGGGGGGUGGGGAGGCAUUCAGCUCUGUGGAUAUUUGAACUCCGACUGUUUUUGAAAGUCGCCCAUGUGACAAAUGUGUCAACAGAGCCCCGGAUGUGCCCUCUGGGGUGGGGAGGAGGGUGGAUGUGAUCAAGUACAUUUCAGGCUUUCAGAGAAACAGGAAAUUCAGUAAUCAGAGAGCAAAAAAUCUAUUCAAUCUCUUUUAAAGCCAGUGAAUAAUGUAGCAGAGUCAGAAUUGUCACAACCGCUGGGUGCAGCUUUGGAAAAGAUGAAAGAUGAGAGAAUAGGAGAGGAGGAGGAGAGGCCCCUGCAGCUGGGAUCACUCAGAGACACUCUCCUAACCUUCUCCUUCACCAUCUGGUGGGAAGAAGGAGCCCCUGAAACUUCUCCUCGACCCCAACACUCACCGCCUCGCCACCAUCAUCUGCCUUGCAUCCAAAGAAGCUCAUCUCAUCGUGCCUUUGCCCCUAUUGACAUCGGUCCUAAGAGCUGCUUGGUUCCCAGCUCACCUAAUCUCAGCCCACGAAUCCCCAGGAGGCUACGUAUUUUCCCUAUCCCGGGGCUUUCUUCCACCCUCCCCAACUCCUGAAACUCAUCCUCCAUGCCCUCUGGAGUCCACGAUCCAUGAUUAGCAAAAUCUGUUUUAUCCUCAAUCUAUUCUCUCAACAUCUGCCUCACUUCUUUCCCUAAGGGGCACCUGAUUGUCCCCUGAGCUCACUGCUUUUUCCAACACCUUCUCAAGCAGGGGCUAUUUUGUUCUCUCACAGGCUUCUCACUGAGAGGUGACAUAGGUGUCCUUCUUACUCCUCAUGGUCACUUUCAGAAAUAUCUCCCUCCUCCUCUGCAAACCCUUGCACCCCACAUUGAAUUUUAUAUCUUCAGAUUACAUAAAUCACUACUGUCUUAUCCUGAUGCCCAGAGGUCAUUUUUCAAUUAUUUUAGGGCCUGGCUAACUGUUUCUCUAAUAUGUACUGUCUUAAUGCUUGGUGAUUACAAUGUACGCGUAGAUAACCCUUUCAACACCUGAGCCUCUCAGUGCCUUGAACUUCUUUCCUCCAAUGAUCUUUCCUCUACUCAACCCAUAAUUGUGAUUACUUACAACUGCAACCUCUCCAUAAUCUCAGUUUCAUGCAUUCCACUCUCUGACUGCAACCUCCUAUCUUUCCAGUUCAUCUCACACAUCCCAGCCAUCCUUUGACCCCAUCCGAGCCAUACACUGUUGCCUACCCUGUGAUGUUCCUACUCCCCUACUGACCGUGUCAAUUUCAUGGUUCAGCCGUUAUCAUCAUUGCCCCUUCUGUACACCUUCAGCUCUUUGCUUCUCUUUUCCUUUGUCACAUUCACCUAGCCUGAGGCAGACUUAGUCAAAUCCAACUCUGCACCUACUUCAUACCUCCACAUCUGCUGCUGAACAUGGCUGGAGAACAACACACAGCCACACUGCUUGAUUCACUUUAAAUUCAUGAUGAUGAAACUCCAUGGGCCCUUAAUGCUGAUCAGGUCAUCUUCCCUGAUGCAUUCAUUCACUUUUCCUCCUAGACAGCAGUUUCAUACCUUCUUUUCUCUUCUCAAACCCUUAGCAUUUCCUUCCCACCCUUACUUUCAGCUGAUAAUUGUAUUCUUUCUCCACUGGGAAAAUAGAAGCAACCAGGAAAGAACUCUACAGAUUCCCACUACCACAUUUAUCCCCUGACCAGAAGUUGCAUCUUCACACUUUCCACCUAUUACCUGCCCAUCAAAGCACAUUCCUCGACUUGUGCACACAAUCCUGCCCCUUUCACCUACUCAAGGACAUUACUCCAGCAAUGCUUCCCUUUCUCUCUUCCACCAAAUUCUCUCUCUCUCUGUCUCUGUCUCUACUGGAUCCUUUCCAUCAGUACACAAGCAUGCUAUUAUUUCUCAUAUCUUAAAAAACAACAAAGUCUUUUAAUGACUACUUCCAUCAGCAGUGUCUGCCCUAUUUACUCCUCUUUAGAGCAAAAAAGAAUCAUUUAUACUUGCUAUGUCCAAUUCCUCUCCUCCAGUUCUCUCUCAAAUCAACUUCAAAUCAGGCUUACGUCCCCAUUAGCCUACAGAGAUUGUUCCUGUCAAAGUUAUCAUGACUUUCAUGUUACUAAAUACAAGGGUCAAUUCUCAGCUCUCAUCUUAUUGAUUAAUAGCAUCUGAUAUAACUGACCACUUCCUCUUCCUUGAUACAGUCUCUUCACUGAGGUUCACCCCAGGGCAUCUUACUCGCUUGGUUUUUUCCUGGUACCUCACUCCUUCAAACCUUCUUCGUCUUUUUUCUUCAUUCCUCCUCUUUUCCCUGACCCCUAAAUGUUGAAAUGCCCAGGGCUCAGACCUCAGUUCUCUGCUUUUCCUUAUCCACCUCUUUCGAUGGUCUCAUACAAAUAUUAAUACAUGAUUUCCAAUACUAUCAAUAUUCCCAUGACCCCUACAUUUAUAUCUCUAGCCCCAGAUCUCUUCCCUCAACCCUGGACUCACGUAUCCAACUGUCUGCUGCACAUCUCCAAAUUCAACAUGUCCAAAACUGAACUCUUGAUCUGCUCCCCCAAACUUGACCUACCCACAGCCUUCCCAUCACAACUGAUGGCAACUCUAUUCUUCCAGUUGCUUAGGCCAGAAACUUAGAGUCAUCCCUGUCACCUGUCGUCCUUUCACACACACAUCAGAUCUGGCAUCUGGCAACUAUUAAUACGACCUUCAAAAUACAUCCAGAAUCCAACCACUUCUUGCCUCCUUUAUUGCCUCCAUCUAGUUGAAGCCGCCAUCAUCUCUCACCUAGUAGAUUCUCGCCUGAAUCUACUCUUGCUCUCAACACAGCAGCCACAGUGAUCCCUUUUGAAUGCACCCGAGAGGCCAGGCACAGUGGCUGAUGCCUGUAACCCCUGAUGCCUGCACUUUGAGAGACCAAGGAGGGAGGAUCCCUUGAGCCCAGGAAUUCAAGACCAGCCUGGGCAACAUGGCGAAACCUUGUCUCUAUAAAAAAUACAAAAAUGAUCCAGGUGUGGUGGCAUGUGCCUGUAAAGCCAGCUGAUCUGGAGGCUGAAGUGGGAGGAUUGCUUGAGUCCAGGAAGCUGUGGUUGCAAUAAGCUGAGAUGGGGCCACUGAACUCCAGCCUGGGCUACAGAAUGAGACCCUGUCUCAAAAAAAAAAAAAAAAAGUAGUUUAGAUCAUAUCCCUUCUCUAAUCAAAAUUCUUCAGUAUCGCUGCCCCCCAUUUCUCUUAAGGUAACACUUCAAUAACUCCCAUUUCUCUCAAAACUAAAGUCCUAGGUUGGGCACAGUGACUCAUGCCUGUAAUCUCAGCCAUUUGGGAGGCCAAGGAGGGAGGAUCACUUUAGCCCAAGAGUUCAAGACCACCCUGACCCUAUGAAAGAAUCAAAAAAUUAGCUGGGCAUGGUGGUGCAUGGCUGUAGUCCCAGCUUCUCAGGAGGCAGAGGUGGGAAGAUAUCUUGAGCCAGGGAUGAUCAUGCCACUGCACUCCAGCCUGGGCAAUAGAGAAAGACCCUGUCUAAAAAAAAAAAAAGCUAAAAAAAGAGUUUACAAAGCCAAAAUUGUUCUACAUUAUCUGCCUACUGCACCUCUCUAUCUUCUUCUCUGACACUCUUCCUCACUCAUUUUAGUCUCCUUGUUGUUCCUUAAACACAUUAGGCAUGCACUUACCUUUGUGUCCUUGCUCUAGCUGUAACCUCUACCUGAAUACACCUGCCCCAGAUAUCUACUUGAUGAACUUUCUCAUUCCUGCAAUGUUCAAAUCUCACCCUCUCAAUGAGGCCCACCCUGACCACCCACCCUUCCCCCUACUCCCUGACACUCCUGAUCACCCUUAACCUGUAUAAUCUUGUUCUUUUUUGUCCUCAUGGACAAAAGUCUAACAUACUUUGUAAUUUAUAUAUUUGUUAUGUGUAUUGCUGAUUAUCUUUCUUCCCCCUCCCUGCAGGGAUCUUUAUCUAUUUUGUUCACAAACCUAUCCUAAAUGACCAGAACAGUGUCUGGCGCAUCAUAGGCAGAUAAUAA